rnacentral:misc_RNA from 1 species
GGAAGUAAAAAUCGUAACAAGGUUUCCGUAGGUGAACCUGCGAAAGGAUCAUUAUUGUAUAACCGAGGUGCGAGGGCUGUCGCUGACCCGAAAGGUCGUGCACGCCCGAGUGCCCUCACACACAUCCAUCUCACCCCUAUGUGCACCACCGCGUGGGUCCCCCUUUGGCUUGUUCGGAGGGGGGCUUACGUUUUCACACAAACUUUGUAUGCAGUGUAGAAUGUAUUUUUUGUUUUUGCGAUCACGCAAUCAAUACAACUUUCAACAACGGAUCUCUUGGCUCUC